GCCCGGCUGGCACAAUGGUUAGCGCGUGAGACUUUUAAUCUCAAGGUUGCGAGUUCGAAUCUCGCGUCGGGCU